rnacentral:rRNA from 1 species
UACGAAGGGGGCUAGCGUUGCUCGGAAUCACUGGGCGUAAAGCGCACGUAGGCGGCUUUUUAAGUCAGAGGUGAAAUCCUGGAGCUCAACUCCAGAACUGCCUUUGAUACUGGGAGGCUCGAGUCCGGGAGAGGUGAGUGGAACUGCGAGUGUAGAGGUGAAAUUCGUAGAUAUUCGCAAGAACACCAGUGGCGAAGGCGGCUCACUGGCCCGGUACUGACGCUGAGGUGCGAAAGCGUGGGGAGCAAACAGG